rnacentral:rRNA from 1 species
AGCUCCACUAGCGUAUAUUAAAGUUGUUGUGGUUAAAAAGCUCGUAGUUGGAUUUCGGCGGGUAGUGGUUGGUUUGAAUUGAUUCAACACUGACUUUUUUACCCGUGUGUUUUUCCAGAAUCUUACGGGUGAUCUUUACCGAUUGUCCGUUGGAACUGGCAGGUUUACUUUGAAAAAAUUAGAGUGCUCAAAGCAAGCUUACUGCUUGAAUAGUUGCGCAUGGAAUAAUAGAAUAGGAAGUCGUUUCUAUUUUGUUGGUUUUCGGAAAUCGACUUAAUGAUUAAUAGGGAUAGUCGGGGGCAUUCGUAUUCAAACGACAGAGGUGAAAUUCUUGGACCGUUUGAAAGCAUUUGCCAAGAAUGUUUUCA